GAGUGCGACUGUGUGAGACAAAGGCAAGCAUGUGGCAAAACCAACUGAUCAUCCCGUGCGCUGAGGCCCCUGCCAUCAGACUCAUCGUAGAUGGAGAGCUCUGUCUGAUUCGGCCUCUGGGAAAGAAAGAAUCAAAUUCAUGAAUUAACAGAGUUCAGGGACAAACACAGUGAGUACCCCACGCUUAAAACCAUCACACAUGCCCAAAGGGAAAUGCCCAAGCAGAAAGGGCACAGGUGGAAUCUUGUUGUAACUGUUUAUCAUCGCUGACUGAGCUAGCACUUACAUAUCACUGCAGAGAUAAGGCAUACGUAAACUUACUCUUAUGAGAUAACUGAGUAGCACUUCCCUGGUUCUAGCUCUGGUUAUUAUGCAAUAAACCAACCCAUGUUUGGGGAAAUAACCUAUCUGACCCUGUGUUGUCAGCAUGUGCCAUGUUCCUGCUUUGACCUUUUCUCUUCCCACCAAGGGAAGCAUUCAUGGAUGUUCAAGGCCAGGUGCAUUUGCUUUGCCUCCUUCGCAGUGGCCAUAUUCUGCCCUUGAGUGCGGUUGCAUGCUCCAGCCAACACCAAACAGAGAGCACAGACCUGGCACUGCUCUAUUGGCCUCUGCUGGCUGGGACAACAUUCAUCUCCCAGCUCAGGCCUUGCAGAAAA
rnacentral:lncRNA from 1 species